rnacentral:lncRNA from 1 species
CAAAGCUAUAGACAUCCGCCUUCUGCAUGCCCGUGGUUGGCAGGGGGUUCCCACUAAGAAGUUCUGGAGCAGUCCACAGCUUCUCUGCAAUGAGGGAAUAGGCUGGCUAGGUUCCACCUUGGCUCUUCCUCAUGUUACUGCUACUGCUCGACCUCCUACAUCCUCCCCGGGAGGAAGUGACAUAAAAGAAAACUUUCUGAGAAUUCGGCAGAAAAUCAGAGCCAGCGUCAGGCACAGUCAUGUGAUCUCGUUAGACCAUCGUCUUCUGAACACCGUCUAACCCACGCAAGAUUCACCUGUGUCCUCCUCCCACCAUCCGUGGGCCUCCGGGUCAUUUAAAAAAGCUGACUAUUGGAAUAGAAUAAAGAUUUAGUGCAAUUUUC